CGGAAAAGGAGUAAAAACACAUUGGGGAGAUCAUGCCUAAAAAUAAUAUAUUCAAAACCACCCAGCAGUAGGUUUUGUUAACAACAAACUGGGUUUUAAAAGUUCUGCCAUGUUAAGUGGCCAGCAUUUCAUGAAGGAUAACAUUUUUAUACAGAAGGCAGUCAAGCUCAACUCAGAGCCAUGGAGGCUGGUGACGGGAGUUUGGCAUCUGAUACACCACACGCAAGUCCCUGUUGGCUGCACACCAUCUACCAUGCUGUUCCCUUCUUGGGUCCAUCAGCUAGGAAAAGCCACAUGUUCUAGCAGGAGUUGCAAGGGUAUAUUUCGUAUACUGCCCUUGCAAAAUCUCUCAUUAAAAACGGUUAAACCCCAGGACUUGGCAGAGCUUACAAUAAACAUUUGAAUAAUUGGAA
rnacentral:sRNA from 1 species